UUUUGCUGCCUCAGUUAGGUGUCGCUAGUGAUGGUGACAUAACUGAGGUUGCAUAUGGUGUGGCCCUGCCAACCAAAGAGGGCCAAACAGUGCAUUCGAUGCCUGUUACAAGUGGCCACAUAAGUGUGACCGUAGAAACUAUUCUAAAGAGAUUUGAAGAUUUCUCACUCCCGGUUUCAAUGCUAGAAUGGAGCCUUGAGAAACUAUCAGACGCCCUAGGUAGUUUCGUCACGGCCAUAUGCUUAGGUCCGAUUCACUAACAUGCAAAAGAGUCCAAAGGGAUCAAGGAGAGAGAUCGGUUCCUCAGCAAAGAUGUCGACUGGGUCAAAGUCGAUGGCAAUCACUCUAAUUUUAACUGAUGCGGAGCUAAAAGAUCUCUCUCAAGAUUGCAAAUGGCUUCACACUUGUGCAUCUCGCAUAAAUGAUGAGGACCCAAUCAUUCUUAAACUGCAGAAGGAACAAUUCUGCUUUGUGGAGAGCCCAUUUGUAAUUAUUGGUCCUAGUGACAUUGGGCAUUUUUUAGUGGAGAGAUGUUGAACGUAGCUCUUAUCCAUGUCUACAUGAGUGCGGCUUACAAGGAGCUAAAUUCUUGCGAUCCUCCAAUAAAAAAUUGGAUGGUUUUGUCCUAAGUCGAUUUAGGGUACUAAAAGCGUAAAUGAUCCAGAUGACGUCAAAGCAUACAUUGAGACUACUUUGAAUAAUUCCCUUGCAUCUAAACACACGUUCAA